rnacentral:rRNA from 1 species
CCCGCUGAACUUAAGCAUAUCAAUAAGCGGAGGAAAAGAAACUAACAAGGAUUCCCCUAGUAACUGCGAGUGAAGCGGGAAAAGCUCAAAUUUAAAAUCUGGCGGUCCUUGUGGCCGUCCGAGUUGUAAUCUAGAGAAGUGUUAUCCGCGCUGGACCGUGUACAAGUCUCCUGGAAUGGAGCGUCACAGAGGGUGAGAAUCCCGUCUUUGACACGGACUGCCAGGGCUUUGUGAUGCGCUCUCAAAGAGUCGAGUUGUUUGGGAAUGCAGCUCAAAAUGGGUGGUAAAUUCCAUCUAAAGCUAAAUAUUGGCGAGAGACCGAUAGCGAACAAGUACCGUGAGGGAAAGAUGAAAAGAACUUUGGAAAGAGAGUUAAACAGUACGUGAAAUUGCUGAAAGGGAAACGCUUGAAGUCAGUCGCGUUGGCCGGGGAUCAACCUUGCUUUUGCUGGGCGUACUUUCCGGUCGACGGGUCAGCAUCAAUUUUGACCGUUGGAUAAAGUCUAGGGGAAUGUAGCAUCUUCGGAUGUGUUAUAGCCCUUGGUCACAUACGACGAUUGGGAUUGAGGAACUCAGCACGCCGCAAGGCCGGGUACUUGUACCACGUUCGUGCUUAGGAUGCUGGCAUAAUGGCUUUAAUCGACCCGUCUUGAAACACGG